ensembl:lncRNA FAM182A family with sequence similarity 182 member A
AUCCCUCACAGGGUAGCAGCAAGUGAAAGGGAUCCCCCUGGCCUUGAGGAGCUCACAUCUACUUAUUUCCCAGGGGUCUCUGUCCAGUGCCCACACAUGCCUGGCAUGUAGUAGGUGCCUCAUCCACAUCUGGUGAAAGAGUGGAAAGCAGGUCAUUAUCAUGUAUUGUUUGGCACAGAAUCUGCAGUAGGGGACAGAGAAAGUGCAGUGAAUAGAAGACACUUCUCUGCACCCCAAAAGCUCCAUGCUGAUUGUGAGAAGGAAAUGCUGGAUGGAGGGGUUCCUGGAACUACUGUGAGGGAUGAUACUCCAAAUUGAUACUUAAUAUACAGAAAUGACUAUCAUGGACAUAACCCACAACAUGUGAAAUGUAUGGCUCAUUCUACUGACAUUAUACAGGAAAGUUAAUGACAACUGAAUUUCUAGUCAUUUUCCACCCAACAAGUUGCUUAUAAAAUGUCAAGGAAUUGUAGAAAUGGUGAGAGAACUUUGGAUGUGGAACGUGGAGGAGGAGGAACACGAAGUGGGGAUCUCCACUUGGGGUGGUCAGCACUGCGGGUGCCCAGCAAAGUCACUGCCUGGUCCACAUCCCGGAGGGGUCUCUGCGCCUCAGUCGGCAUCGCAGCUGAUGGUGAAACUUUUGGUGUGGCAGAAGAGUGUCCACAAACUUCGGAAGAUCGCUGCUCAGAGUGAGGAAUGGAGUUGUGUUUUGAAUAAAAUAUCCACGCAUCCUUUUGU